rnacentral:rRNA from 1 species
GACGAACCGAGCGAACGUUGUUCGGAAUCAUUGGGCGUAAAGCGCACGUAGGCGGCGCUGCAAGUCGGACGUGAAAUCCCUCGGCUCAACCGAGGACGUGCAUCCGAAACUGCAGUGCUCGAGUAUGGAAGAGGAUCGCGGAAUUCCCGGUGUAGAGGUGAAAUUCGUAGAUAUCGGGAGGAACACCUGUGGCGAAGGCGGCCAGCUGGGCUGGACCUGACGCUGAGGCACGAAGGCGUGGGGAGCGAACGGG